rnacentral:rRNA from 1 species
UACGUAGGGGGCUAGCGUUGUCCGGAUUUAUUGGGCGUAAAGAGCUUGUAGGCGGUUUGUCGCGUCUGCUGUGAAAAUCCGGGGCUCAACCCCGGACUUGCAGUGGGUACGGGCAGACUAGAGUGUGGUAGGGGAGACUGGAAUUCCUGGUGUAGCGGUGAAAUGCGCAGAUAUCAGGAGGAACACCGAUGGCGAAGGCAGGUCUCUGGGCCAUUACUGACGCUGAGAAGCGAAAGCAUGGGGAGCGAACAGG